GAUGAACGCUGGCGGCGUGCUUAACACAUGCAAGUCGAACGAAGCACUUUAUUUGAUUUCCUUCGGGACUGAUUAUUUUGUGACUGAGUGGCGGACGGGUGAGUAACGCGUGGGUAACCUGCCUUGUACAGGGGGAUAACAGUUGGAAACGGCUGCUAAUACCGCAUAAGCGCACGGCAUCGCAUGAUGCAGUGUGAAAAACUCCGGUGGUAUAAGAUGGACCCGCGUUGGAUUAGCUAGUUGGUGAGGUAACGGCCCACCAAGGCGACGAUCCAUAGCCGACCUGAGAGGGUGACCGGCCACAUUGGGACUGAGACACGGCCCAAACUCCUACGGGAGGCAGCAGUGGGGAAUAUUGCACAAUGGGCGAAAGCCUGAUGCAGCGACGCCGCGUGAGCGAAGAAGUAUUUCGGUAUGUAAAGCUCUAUCAGCAGGGAAGAUA
rnacentral:rRNA from 1 species